rnacentral:rRNA from 1 species
UACGUAGGGCGCAAGCGUUAUCCGGAAUUAUUGGGCGUAAAGAGCUCGUAGGCGGUUUGUCGCGUCUGCUGUGAAAACCUAAGGCUCAACCUUGGGCUUGCAGUGGGUACGGGCAGACUAGAGUGCGGGUAGGGGUGACUGGAAUUCCUGGUGUAGCGGUGGAAUGCGCAGAUAUCAGGAGGAACACCGAUGGCGAAGGCAGGUCACUGGGCCGCAACUGACGCUGGAGGAGCG